GGCAGAAUCCAAGGUUACAAUCAUGUAUUCCAGACAAGUUGAAGCGGCUCUGAGGUUGUUUGCAAGGAACCCUCCUAAACCCCGACAAAUUCAAAGUUCUUAGUUUUUGUUGACAGCCAACUGUUGCAGAUUUCUCCGGAUCUAUUAUGAAACAUUACAGAACGUCAGGAUAGAACCUGAUUCAAGAUUGAAAGCUCUGGAAUGGCUGCUAGUACAACUUCAAGAUAUGGUGGAUAUUUACAACUACUCUAAUUUCAAUGUUAGGGAAACAAUGCUUACC